GGGGCAUUGGCGCAGUUGGGAGCGCGCCUCCAUGGCAUGGAGGAGGCCACGGGUUCAAGUCCCGUAUGCUCCA
rnacentral:tRNA from 1 species